CUUAUACAUCUCAUCAUCCUGAUGUUUUUAAUGUAAGGUGUGUGUGUGUGUGUGUGUUGAACAGUUGUGUAACCCUCAGUCUAUAGUAGUACAGAAGUGCGUGUUUUGAGGCAUACCCAUUGUAGUGUAUGUGUUGUGUUGUACAUGCCGGUUUGAGUCAGUUCCUGGGUUUCUCGGUUCCUCUCUCCAGUUCUUGUAGUAAACAACCCAGCCAUGUGGGCAGGAUGUGAGCUGUGAUUGGCUGAAAGGCGAUUCGUAAGACUCACACCCUAAAAUCCCGACUUGUUUACGCCAGACUGGUGGCCAGGGUUGCCAGAUUGUUCUCCCAAACCCGGCUUCUUCUUCUUUGUUUUUAAACUUCAUUCCUGGAAAUAAAAACGUGUUGUUAUACUCGGGUAUAUUUCUGGGAGCAUUUUUGCUUGAUUAUUUUUCACUCAAUACUCAGCAUUCAUGUGUCAGAGCUACAGUUUGUUGUGCAUUAAGGAGGAAUUUCAUUUCUAGACUGAGAGUCAAAAGAAAAUCCCAUGCAAUUUGGCAACCCUGCGUGCAGGAGGCAUUGGCCACAAUGGCAAAGAAGGUAUUUUUGCAGAGUAGAUCAUCUAAAAAAGGAAGAGAAAUCUCAAGAACAAAUGUAAAUUUCACAGCAUAAUGGCAGAAUAAUGUGCACGCAUUUUCACUCACAAGUGCAUGCUUUAGUAAUAGUAGUAGUGCCACAGAAGUCCAGGUGCAAUACCAAUGCCACAAUGCCAUGUUUGCACUUUAAUCAUUAAUCAAGUGCAUGAGAAUUCCACUUUGUUUGGAUGUUCAGAUGAGCUGCAGUGAGAUGUGCAGAGCAGCAUGCAUGCUUGCAGGGGCAACAGGGAAGUGAUUACAUAACUGCUCCAUAGCAUAGCUCAGUGUGGUUUCUAAUUACACACACACCAUAAAUCCUUAAUCCGUAAACACAAAUCCAGCAACUCCACCCUCGCGCUCUUCUUUUACUCUCUUUAAAAGAGACAGAGAGAUAAGUUGCACGAAAAGCAACCAUUUAAAAAAAUGUUAUAUAGAUGACAACCCAUAGCUUUUCAUCGGUUAUGUAGGUUACUGUAGUGCAGCCUGUAAAUGAGUGCUCGUGACGUCAUGCAUGCACGUAACGGAGUUGUGUGUUUGUUUGUUUGUUGCAUGCAUAUUUUUUUUCUCUCUCUUGGAUCGCACAAGUGAUGGUGUUCUUUUUUUUUUUUGGUUAACCCUGCUGUGUUCUUGCAUGCACGCGCACACCCAGUGGACGACUCUUACGUGCGCGCUGAUGAGUAACUGCUGUGCAGUUGCACUGCGAAUAAAAGAACGUGUACGUGCAGAACGUGCAGAAGAGCACAUGGCUCCGCGAGCUCGCGCUGCACGUCGCAUCACAAGCUCCACCUCCCCGCCCCCCUUCACCGUGAGCUCCGCAUCAGGACCUUCCCUAAAAGUGCGGGGGAAAAAACAAUAAAAAGCUAUCAACGGCUGCAGAAGGCAGGUUGUGAAAAACUCUCGAGCGACCGCAGAAGACCUGCAGCAGGACUCGGUGUAACAGGCGCUGAGGUUUCAGCGAGAACGGUAAGGCGCGUACUAAACGCAGAAGGUUUCCGUGCCAGAACUCCAAGACGCUCACCGCUAC
ensembl:lncRNA